rnacentral:lncRNA from 1 species
AAAAAAACAUAAAUAUAUUAUAUCUAUAAUACAAUUUGUUCUCUUUAUCACUUCUUUUGUACAACUGUAUUUUUAAAAAUGUUUUAUAAUUAAUAAUAUGAAUCUUCUUGUUUAAGUUAGUGCAUUGUUUUUGCAUAUCUUGUGGAAUGCAAGCACGCACCCACUCACUCCUUACUAUACCAACAUACUGUGUUAGCGUCCAACAAACAACAUAGAUGUCAUGACUGAUGUACCAACUCCUCACAGGGAUUGUACCAGCCUCUGGCAUUCUCUCACAAACUCACAGCCACAAACAAUGGGUCUCAGGCCUCCCAAUUCAAAAAUACUAUGAAGUACCCUUGAAGUACUCUUGAAGUACUGUAUGUAUAUGAAUAUAUGUAUGGCACAGUUUGUUGGGGAUAUAUAGAAACCAAAAUAAUCUAUACUGUAGAAAUAGGAUGGUGGGGGAAGGGGUGGGUGAGUGGAAGUCUCUACUUAAACGUUCACAAGCUUUGCAUUAUUUUGGAGUGGAGUGUCAUCGUUUCAAGUAAACAUUCAUCAGGCUAUAUGGCUAUAAGUGUGAGCCUUCAGAGAGGAGCUUAGUUACCCUGCAGCUAGCUAUACAACAUGGAUGGUAAAGUGGUAGGAUGGUAACAUGGUAGGAUGAUAAAGUGGUAGAAUGGUAACGUGGUAGGAUGGUAACUUGGUAGGAUGGUAAAGUGGUAAGAUGGUAAAGUGGUAGGAUAGUAAAGUGGUAGGAUGGUAACGUGGUAGGAUGGUAAAGUGGUAGGAUGGUAAAGUGGUAGGAUGGUAAAGUGGUAGGAUGGUAACUUGGUAGGAUGGUAACUUGGUAGGAUGGUAACGUGGUAGGAUGGUAAAGUGGUAAGAUGGUAAAGUGGCAGGAUGGUCACGUGGUAGGAUGGUAACUUGGUAGGAUGGUAACGUGGUAGGAUGGUAAAGUGGUAAGAUGGUAAAGUGGUAGGAUGGUAACGUGGUACGAUGGUAAAGUGGUAAGAUGGUAAAUUGGUAGGAUGGUAACGUGGUACGAUGGUAAAGUGGUAAGAUGGUAAAGUGGUAGGAUGGUAACGUGGUAGGAUGGUAAAGUGGUAGGAUAGUAACGUGGUAGGAUGGUAAAGUGGUAGGAUGUAAAAUUUGGAUUACUGUAACUAACAACAACUCUGGGAUAUAUAGGGAAUGGGAAAGACCGUCAUCAACAUUACAAUCUGUCCUGCAAGACUGAAAGCCCAAAGACCUCCUCAACCUUGAUGUUCAGACCCAUGAUAAAAAAAGGAUUUUGGACGGCGGAAAAAGCAUUGAAAAUCUAUAUUUUAUAAAUGUUUUAAGCUUGACACGUGUGCACUGUACAGACAACGUAGUGACAUCCUAGCCAGUCCUUACUGUACCACAGAGAUUCAUACUGUAUCAUCAGGACAGAUUUAUCACACUACAAUAUCAUUGAUACGGUGAACACUUUGAACAUCAUAUUUGCAUAAUUAGGUUGAUAAUAAUACACGAGUCAGUCUGAGUCAUGCUUACGGUCAGUCGCUCCACAAGGCAGAGACAUCCAACAGGAGAGGUACAAUCACAAUCCCACUAAUCAUGUAUGUCUCCCUGUAAAGUGUUUACUGGAAAAAGGAUCCUAACGCCAAUGUCCUGCUAUUACGUGGCAUUCCUUCUUUACGCACCGAAUAUUAUCUUUGUCUCUUUGUCUACGAGUACCGUCUGGCUGCAGUCUGUGAGUUAGGGUCAUUUAUUCCGUCUGUCGGCGAUGAUGUAAUGGACAGGAGCACAGAGCUUGUUCAGAUGCAUCUCAUUAGGCCUGGCAGGCCCAUAGAGUUGGAUAGAGGGCACAUUUGGCCAGUUUUAACAUAGAGAUGAGCUCUCUACUACAUAUCUAUGGGAGUGCCUAACAGGGUGAAAUAUAGUAAUCAUCAUGUCACAGCUCAGGUGUCGAAGGUCACAGAUCCCCUGUCUGAUUGGCUUAUCCUGUUCUGUUCUCUGAUUGGUCUAUCCCGUCCUGCCCUCUGAUAGGCUCCUUGAUGAGAUCUGAUGAAAACCUCUGUAGUUCAAUAUUCAGAACAACAAACAACCAUGAAAUAAUUAAAGCAGCGAUAGGAGUAAAAACACAGCUUUGGAAGCAUGCCUGUCAAAUGGUUUUCUGUUCAGGUGGUAGGGUGAUAGAUACAAGUGAAACAUGACACCAUACUUAGUUAAUGCUACCUUAAUUUAACCGUUUAGGUAUAGUGUUGCUUUUAAGAAACAGCGAUACAUAUUUCACCCCCUCACCUCCAAAUACAGCUUUCACCUCAGGGACAAAAUAAAUAAAUAAAUAAAUACAAUGUGUUUAAAAGAUGCAUACUAAUAGGUACACAUUUUACUACGUCCUGCCGCUGCACCCCACACACACAGGUUUCAAUACUUCUUAACUUCCUAAAAUCUCCUAAAAAAUAAAUCAAGCAAAAUCCACAGUUAGGGCCAGCACCCCGAUUUGGGCAAAAAUAAGGAUAAAUAACAUCAUGAAAAAUAACAAAUGAAGAAAUCAAGUCUGGCCAGUUUUGCACAAUACUGUUUGUGUGUGUGUGUAAAAUACAUGAAGUGGAUUGGAUUCUGAUCUGUGUGUUGUGGUGAUUAUAGCAACUUGGCACCAACACCUAGCCACUGUAUUGUCACAGACAAGAAAGGCCAUAUCUUACCUCAGCCCUGCCCAGUUUCUCCUCCUUUCCUACACUCAUCCCCCAAAACAUCCUACAGCGAGGAUAGCAGGAUGAACGGACCACUGAGGAGUUUAAAACUAUAACUGAUAAACGACUACAACCAAAACAAUGCAGAUUUAAUAACUGAACUGAGAGAGAGAGAGAGAGAGAGAGAGAGAGAGAGAGAGAGAGAGAGAGAGAGAGAGAACGGACGGAGGAUGGGAGGUUGAGGUAACCAUGGCAGCUAGGUGGCGCUGUCCCUGUUUAGGACGGCUGCAUGUGAUGAGGAAGUGGCGGCAUUAUGACAGAGAGGGAGGUGUGCGAGUGGUGGAGGGAGGAAAGAGGGAUGGAGGAGAGGAGAAGGGCGUAGGCUGUUGGUGGACAGUACGACAGCUGAGCAUGAUAAAGAUAAACACAUCCUGGAUGUUGGUGUCUCUCUGUGUCGCUCCCUGUCGUUGGCUCCUCCUUCAGAUCCUGGAUGUUGGUGUCUCUCUGUGUCGCUCCCUGUCGUUGGCUCCUCCUUCAGAUCCUGGAUGUUGGUGUCUCUCUGUGUCGCUCCCUGUCGUUGGCUCCUCCUUCAGAUCCUGGAUGUUGGUGUCUCUCUGUGUCGCUCCCCU